rnacentral:rRNA from 1 species
AUUGAACGCUGGCGGCAGGCCUAACACAUGCAAGUCGAACGAAGUGGCGAACGGGUGAGUAAUACGUGGGUAACCUGCCCUCCUUUUUGGGAUAAGCCUUUGAAACGGGGUCUAAUACCGAAUAAAGGGGGAUGGGCUCGCGGCCUAUCAGCUUGUUGGUGGGGUGAUGGCCUACCAAGGCGGUGACGGGUAGCCGGCCUGAGAGGGUGACCGGCAACAGGGGGAGUGAGAUACGGCCCAGGGUCCUACGGGGGGGAGCAGUGGGGGAUAUUGGAGAAUGGGCGAAAGCAUGAUGCAGCGACGACGCGUGGGGGAUGAAGGCUUUCGGGUUGUAAACCUCUUUCGGUAUCGAAAGGGUAGGUGGAGAAGAAGCGCCGGCUAACUACGUGCCAGCCGCCGCGGUAAUAC